AUUGAACGCUGGCGGCAGGCCUAACACAUGCAAGUCGAGCGGAUGAGAGAAGCUUGCUUCUCGAUUCAGCGGCGGACGGGUGAGUAAUGCCUAGGAAUCUGCCUGGUAGUGGGGGACAACGUUUCGAAAGGAACGCUAAUACCGCAUACGUCCUACGGGAGAAAGCAGGGGACCUUCGGGCCUUGCGCUAUCAGAUGAGCCUAGGUCGGAUUAGCUAGUUGGUGAGGUAAUGGCUCACCAAGGCGACGAUCCGUAACUGGUCUGAGAGGAUGAUCAGUCACACUGGAACUGAGACACGGUCCAGACUCCUACGGGAGGCAGCAGUGGGGAAUAUUGGACAAUGGGCGAAAGACUGAUCCAGCCAUGCCGCGUGUGUGAAGAAGGUCUUCGGAUUGUAAAGCACUUUAAGUUGGGAGGAGGGGUUGUAGAUUAAUACUCUGCAAUUUUGACGUUACCGACAGAAUAAGCACCGGCUAACUCUGUGCCAGCAGCCGCGGUAACAC
rnacentral:rRNA from 1 species